rnacentral:rRNA from 1 species
AGAGUUUGAUCCUGGCUCAGAACGAACGCUGGCGGCAUGCCUAACACAUGCAAGUCGAACGAGACCUUCGGGUCUAGUGGCGCACGGGUGCGUAACGCGUGGGAAUCUGCCCUGGGGUGCGGAAUAACUCGGAGAAAUCCGUGCUAAUACCGCAUAAUGUCUUCGGACCAAAGAUUUAUCGCCCUGGGAUGAGCCCGCGUAGGAUUAGCUAGUUGGUGGGGUAAAGGCCUACCAAGGCGACGAUCCUUAGCUGGUCUGAGAGGAUGACCAGCCACACUGGGACUGAGACACGGCCCAGACUCCUACGGGAGGCAGCAGUGGGGAAUAUUGGACAAUGGGCGAAAGCCUGAUCCAGCAAUGCCGCGUGAGUGAUGAAGGCCCUAGGGUUGUAAAGCUCUUUACCCGGGAUGAUAAUGACAGUACCGGGAGAAUAAGCCCCGGCUAACUCCGUG